GUGCGCGUCGGACGCCCCGCAAGGGGAGGGGCUGACGGGUGAGUAAGGCGUGGGAAUCUACCCAUCCCUACGGAAGAACGCAUGGAAACGUGUGCUAAUACCGUGUACUCCCUACGGGUGAAAGAUUGUUCGGGGGUGGAUGAGCCCGCGUUGGAUUACGUAGUUGGUGGGGUAGAGGCCUACCAUGGGGACGAUCCGUAUCUGGUCUGAGAGGAUGGUCGGCCGCGUUGGGACUGAGACACGGCCCAAACUUAUACGGGAGGCAGCAGUGGGGAAUAUUGGACAAUGGGCGCAAGCCUGAUCCAGCCAUGCCGCGUGAGUGAUGAAGGCCUUAGGGUUGUAAAGCUCUUUCACCGGAGAAGAUAAUGACGGUAUCCGGAGAAGAAGCCCCGGCUAACUUCGUGCCAGCAGCCGCGGUAAUACGAAGGGGGCUAGCGUUGUUCGGAAUUACUGGGCGUAAAGCGCACGUAGGCGGACUUUUAAGUCAGGGGUGAAAUCCCGGGGCUCAACCCCGGAACUGCCUUUGAUACUGGAAGUCUGGAGUAUGGAAGAGGUAAGUGGAAUUCCGAGUGUAGAGGUGAAAUUCGUAGAUAUUCGGAGGAACACCAGUGGCGAAGGCGGCUUACUGGUCCAUU
rnacentral:rRNA from 1 species